rnacentral:lncRNA from 10 species
UAGAGGGCCACCAGGUCCCUCCCCACACGCCCGCUGUCCACGCGCUGCGGCCUUGGAGUAACUGCUGUUCUUAAAGGCUGCCUCCGUCCUGCCGCGCGGCCUUUAGAGGGUUGGAGCUGGCAGAACCGUAACUCCCUCUCUGAGGGUGAAUACGGGCCUUGAUUGCCAGAAGGGCCCUCGGCCGGGGACGCGGGAUGAUGCGGGGCCGGGAGAUGCUUUCCUGGAGGCUGAGAAACCUGGAGGGAGACCCCCAAAACUUCUCAGUUCGCCGACCCCUUGGUCCCAGAGGGAGAGGAGCAUCCCCAAAGAACAUUCAAGUCUGAGCCUCAAGGAGCCUCUGCGACUCGGUGUCUAGAUCCAGGAAAUGGAGAAUGAGCCGUGACUUUGGAUGCUUCACUCUUGUCCAUCAGGCUCGGAAUUGGGUAGCCCGGCUCUGCAGGGACAGUCACGGAGCUGAAAAACUGCUGCCUAAUGAAGCUGUUUUCUUCUACCACCGGCUCACCCUCAAAUUAUUUCCUGAGCGAACUCAAG